GAGGGUUUAUAUUCAUUUUUUUUUUUUUUUAGAGAGAGAGAGCGAGAUGGAGGCGCCGAAGUGGGCGGUGCCUGAGCGCGCGAGGCAAAACAGGGAUACACUCUGGUUUUAUUGCGAUGGAGAUAGCUGCUGGAAGCUAUAACUCAACAACAUAAGGAGGGCCAUAGAAUUCUCCUUUAUUUCAUAUUAUAUUGUUCAAUGUGUGUGAAACCAUCCAAUGGAAUGGAUGAAUCACCAAUAUGCCCACAAUCCAUCUCUCCCCCCCCUCCCUGUUAAAUAUAGAAAUGUGCAUGAAACAUGAUUUUCUCCAAUUUCCAGCACAAUUAUGUGCUUGACGUUCUACCAAACAAUUUGUGAUCAGCCACAACUGAACCAAAAUAAAACCUGAAUAUUUGAGUUAUUCUGGGUUUUGGCCAAAGGAAAAUCAAGGAAUUACAGGUUGCACUGCCAUCUAUUGAUCAUACUACAUAGAAAAAACAUUUCAGGUUUAAUUCAAAUACAAAGCAAAUCAUGUUUGGAUGAAUACUUCUGAAUGAUAUGCUUUUCCCCACUUUCUGCCUUUGAUUUAUUAAAGUUUUCCAUAUUUCGGUUGAUAAA